rnacentral:tRNA from 1 species
GCCUCUGUAGCUCAAUGGAAGAGCAGUUCCGUCCUAAGGAAAGGGUUGGGGGGUUCGAGUCCCUCCAGGGGCA